UGCGGCCAUAUUAUAAGUGGUGACGCCUGUCUUGGCUGUUUUCUUUUUUUCAAUGUCAGUCAGUUGACAUGAGAAGCACAACCUCAGUAAAUCUACCUGUCGCCAUUCUAUCUUAAUUGAUAUACCGUAAAGUGAUGGAUGAAAAGAAUCAGAGGCGGCAUGAGAAUAUUUUAUCAUACACAGAACCAGCCAGUUCAACUGAGGUGUUGUGAGAUCCGGGAAUACACUGCCUGAAAGAUUGGUGGAAGCAGGUUCAAUGGAAUUUCCAUGGAUUAGCUGGAGCUCCCAGUGAUCUGGAAGAAGCCAGAACAUCACUGCACCCAGUGUUACUCAACUCCACCUUUUGCAAGCAUCAGCUCAAGUACAUUUACUCUGAGGGAUUUAGAUAGUUUGAGAAAGGGGCACUGGUUGAAGCUCAAAAUACCAGUAGUUAGCAUCAUGUGUUGGUGACAGUAGAGGAGAAGAAAGCUUAUGGCUUGAGGACUAACCCUCAGUUGCAGAGCGCUAGGAUUGGAUCUUGGAUGCCUGAUUAUGAAAAACCCACAGAUGUUAACUGCAGACUCAAAUACUCAGAAGUCCAGAGAAGUCUGGAACUCACAUCUGUGGUCUCCUGCGCAUUGGCUUUGUGGAACUGUAACCGACUGUGGAAUGUGAAAAUUGCAGGAACUUCUGAAAUUAAAAGGAAGCCCCUCCCUCAUGGCAGAGCUCCUUCACACAGCGAAAGUAUCUCUCAUAAAUGCCUAAACAGCUGGAAUGGAGACCUUGCACUCAAAUAUAGAGCAGAGAUUAGUGCUCAACUCUUAACAUGCUGGAAAAUUUAGCAGAGUAAUGUUAAAUGGCUUUAAAUAUUUCAUUGCUACCACAGGUAUGCCCCAUGUAGAUCAAUUGACAUGAUGGAGGAGUAUCCAACAGGUACAUGGCAGAAUUAGGUAUGGAUGAGGUUGCUGCUUCACAGCACAGUGCCACAUCCAGAUACCCUCCCCUUCAAAUGAUAGAUGUGUCAGAAAAUGGGCAGGAUCAGCCAGACACCACAGGAUCAGAUACGAUGAUGCCAGUUGCAAGUUGUAUCUUAUGACCCAACACAGGACUAUCUCCGAUUCAAUUGGCCUUUAGCCAGUCACCUCAAUUGUUGCUGCCACUGGGAAAUGGCUGAAAGGAACACUCAUUUUGGUUCUGGAAGACUUUAUUAGCAAGAUAAAAUGUAAACAUAAAACAGACUAGGUGCAUACACUUAUUACGUGGUGCAGAGGAUGGUAUUAAUGAAGGUGUGUUAGGCCACCAUAUUGUGUACAGAAAAUUAAUGAUUGAGGCAACUCAGGAUUUUAGGUGAAAGCCUCAUCUAUAAGCAGUCAGCAUAUGUAUUCCAUCAUCAAAAGAGUUUCAACAUAGAUUUUUUUCUGGGCUAUUGA